rnacentral:rRNA from 1 species
GGGGAUAACACUUGGAAACAGGUGCUAAUACCGUAUAACACUAUUUUCCGCAUGGAAGAAAGUUGAAAGGCGCUUUUGCGCCACUGAUGGAUGGACCCGCGGUGCAUUAGCUAGUUGGUGAGGUAACGGCUCACCAAGGCCACGAUGCAUAGCCGACCUGAGAGGGUGAUCGGCCACACUGGGACUGAGACACGGCCCAGACUCCUACGGGAGGCAGCAGUAGGGAAUCUUCGGCAAUGGACGAAAGUCUGACCGAGCAACGCCGCGUGAGUGAAGAAGGUUUUCGGAUCGUAAAACUCUGUUGUUAGAGAAGAACAAGGAUGAGAGUAAAACGUUCAUCCCUUGACGGUAUCUAACCAGAAAGCCACGGCUAACUACGUGCCAGCAGCCGCGGUAAUACGUAGGUGGCAAGCGUUGUCCGGAUUUAUUGGGCGUAAAGCGAGCGCAGGCGGUUUCUUAAGUCUGAUGUGAAAGCCCCCGGCUCAACCGGGGAGGGUCAUUGGAAACUGGGAGACUUGAGUGCAGAAGAGGAGAGUGGAAUUCCAUGUGUAGCGGUGAAAUGCGUAGAUAUAUGGAGGAACACCAGUGGCGAAGGCGGCUCUCUGGUCUGUAACUGACGCUGAGGCUCGAAAGCGUGGGGAGCGAACAGGAUUAGAUACCCU